rnacentral:rRNA from 1 species
AGGACGAACGCUGGCGGCGUGCUUAACACAUGCAAGUCGAACGAGGUGCUUGCACCUAGUGGCGAACGGGUGAGUAACACGUGAGCAACCUGCCCUUGGCUCUGGGAUAGCCUCCGGAAAACGGGGAUUAAUACCGGACAUGACCUUGGUCUGCAUGGACUGAGGUGGAAAGUUUUUCGGCCAGGGAUGGGCUCGCGGCCUAUCAGCUUGUGGGGGGGUAACGCCCACCAAGGCGACGACGGGUA